AUUGAACGCUGGCGGCAGGCCUAACACACGCAAGUCGAGCGGAUGAAGGGAGCUUGCUCCUGGAUUCAGCGGCGGACGGGUGAGUAAUGCCUAGGAAUCUGCCUGGUAGUGGGGGAUAACGUCCGGAAACGGGCGCUAAUACCGCAUACGUCCUGAGGGAGAAAGUGGGGGAUCUUCGAACCUCACGCUAUCAGAUGAGCCUAGGUCGGAUUAGCUAGUUGGUGGGGUAAAGGCCUACCAAGGCGACGAUCCGUAACUGGUCUGAGAGGAUGAUCAGUCACACUGGAACUGAGACACGGUCCAGACUCCUACGGGAGGCAGCAGUGGGGAAUAUUGGACAAUGGGCGAAAGCCUGAUCCAGCCAUGCCGCGUGUGUGAAGAAGGUCUUCGGAUUGUAAAGCACUUUAAGUUGGGAGGAAGGGCAGUAAGUUAAUACCUUGCUGUUUUGACGUUACCAACAGAAUAAGCACCGGCUAACUUCGUG
rnacentral:rRNA from 1 species